rfam:Schistosoma rodhaini strain Burundi genome assembly, scaffold: SROB_scaffold0000392
AUCCAGCUGACGAGUCCCAAAUGCGACGAAACGCGCGUCAAACUGGAU